UACGGAGGGUGCAAGCGUUGUUCGGAAUCACUGGGCGUAAAGGGCGUGUAGGCGGUCCGCUAAGUCUGAUGUGAAAGCCCGGGGCUCACCCCCGGAAGGGCAUUGGAAACUGGCGGACUCGAGUCUCGGAGAGGAAGGUGGAAUUCCGUGGUGUAGCGGUGAAAUGCGUAGAUAUCAGGAGGAAUACCGGUGGCGAAGGCGGCCUUCUGGACGAUGACUGACGCUGAGAACGCGAAAGCGUGGGGAGCAAACAGG
rnacentral:rRNA from 1 species